rnacentral:lncRNA from 1 species
GCUCGGAGCGCUCGCUCUGUGCCGGCUGCGCUCCCAGAGCCGCCCAGCGCCGGGCUCCGAGCAGCUGCGGGCCAGCUGCGGGCUGAGAGCNCAGAGAGCAGAAUUCCCGGGAUCGGCAGAGAGCAGAAUUCCCGGGAUCGGGAUCGGCAGAGAGCAGAAUUCCGGGAUCAGCAGAGAGCAGAAUUCCCGGGAUCGGCUCCGGGGGAUCGGCUCCCCACGGGCAGGACCAUCCCGGACCGGCUCUCCCGGACCAGGACCAUCCCGGACCGGCUCUCCAGGGCCAUCCCGGACCGGCUCUCCAGGACCAUCCCGGACCGGCUCUCCAGGACCAAGAACAUCCCGGACCGGCUCUCCAGGACCAAGAACAUCCCGGACCGGCUCUCCAGGACCAUCCCGGACCCGUUCUCCAGGACCAUCCCGGACCGGCUCCCCAGGACCAUCCCGGAGCCGCUCCCCAGGACCAUCCCGGACCGGCUCUCCAGGACCAGGACCAUCCCGGACCGGCUCUCCCGGACCAUCCCGGAGCCGCUCCCGGCCGCUCCCCUCCCCGUGCAGCUGCCGCUGUAGCGAGCUCUGGUGCGGCGCAGCAGAAGAGGGACACGCAUCCAUCCCACCCUCCUGUCCAGGUGUGCCAGCAAGAGCAGAGCCCCCGUGCCUGGGAAGGGACAGCGCUCUGGACCUGCAGCAAAGCACCACAGCAGAGCUGAGGGAAGCAAACAAAAACAAAUGCCUUGAUGAGCAGAGCUGGAACACAAAGACAGGACGGCUGCUCUGGCAGGAUAAUGACCAGGAGGAGGUGAAGUGCAGGCUUUGGGUGUGCACAGGGUGUCACACCUGCCCCGUGCUCCUCUCCAGGACACACCUGAGCUGAUCAGCCUUCACACCAUCUGCAAGAGGUACAGAAAACAAUACACCAAAGGAGACCAUUUUACCUAUUUGAGAAAAAAUGUCCAUUUCUGGCUAUUGCAAGGUUGCAUUCAGGCUCCAACCUGCCCC